GCAGCCGCCGCGGUAAUACAGAGGGUGCGAGCGUUAAUCGGAUUUACUGGGCGUAAAGCGUGCGUAGGCGGCUUUUUAAGUCGGAUGUGAAAUCCCUGAGCUUAACUUAGGAAUUGCAUUCGAUACUGGGAAGCUAGAGUAUGGGAGAGGAUGGUAGAAUUCCAGGUGUAGCGGUGAAAUGCGUAGAGAUCUGGAGGAAUACCGAUGGCGAAGGCAGCCAUCUGGCCUAAUACUGACGCUGAGGUACGAAAGCAUGGGGAGCAAACAGGAUUAGAGACCCCAGUAGUCCCUGUCUCUUAUAC
rnacentral:rRNA from 1 species